UUUAAAAUGUUGGACUUACUAUUAGGGCCCAAAUCAAGCACUUGAACUUUCCUUUUAGAAAGGAAUAUGAUUCAUAUAAUGUUAAUUUUAUUGUCUGCCUAUGUUAGCAGGGUUUGGUUUUAUAGUGUCUGUUCUUUGUGGCCAUCUCCUGUCAAUUAAGUUGUGUGUUUGACUGUUACUCUCUUUGUUCUGCAUUAAGUCAAUUUUGUUUG
rnacentral:lncRNA from 1 species